CCCCAGCCAUGUUAGUUUGUGGAUUAUCUGGUAAAUUAAGAGACAAUGAGAUAAAUGUACCAUUGUACCAUACAAUGUUCGAGGAUUUUUGAAGUACGUUAAAUUUUCUAUCUGAAAAUUCACCGAGAUGUUGUUGGGAACCAAUUGGUAUUUUUUAUUACAAAGGUCGGCCAAUUAUUGAAUUACCGUUGUCGGAUUUAAACAAUUAUUUCUCGUUUUCUUCUUAAUAUUCACCCCGUAGUUUUUAUUCGUCCCAUUUUACGUUGAUUUUGAACUACAGAUGUUUACCCACUUUCUAAAAAAUAGCUUUUAUAAAAAAAACUUAUGAUAACUUAAAAUGUAUUUUCUGUUGAGUAGGUUAAUAAUACGUUGUUCA